GCCCUUUAAAGAAAGUGCUCCUAUGUGGCACACAAAUGCCCUUUUUCCUCACUGUACAGUUUUUCCUGGUGGCUUGUCUCAUUUCCUAUGUAUGCUGCGUGCUCUUUGCUUGUUUCUUACAGAGACUUAAAAUGACACCUUGUUUAAAAGAAAUCAGGCAGUAUGCACGUAUUAAAACAAGCGGAUCCAAGGAAGAAGAAACAUUCCCAGAGCUGAUUAAUCUUACAAAGUGCAAAGAGGGAUUGAGUGUCUCUCAAGCAAGAGAAAAGAUUGUUCAUCCACAAGAGAGAGUCAAAUAAAAGCAUCAAAUUUUUGAAAAAUCAA